GGUAUUGACCAACACCUCGCAACCAGACCUACUUGAAGCUGACCUGAUCCGCUCCGUAUUGCAUGCGGUGGCUAAACAAUCGACGGAACAAAUCCGUCGUAACCGGUUGUUGGCCCCCAACUUCUUUUCUUCUCUCGUCUACUGUGAUCCCACCAUUCCUCACAUUGAGCAGUUGGAAGAAUUGCGCCAUGGUGCCUGCUGUAGCUGUACUUUCUCCCCAAAAUGUUGUCUCUUGCUGCAUGUUGCACAUUUCGUGAAAUGAAGAACCUGAUGAAGUCCAAGCUUCUUCAUUGCAGUACGUGUACGUGAUAGCUGACGUUGACGUGGAAUUAAGCUGACGUAGAAUUAAGGUUUUCAUGGACGGUUUGAUGAUUGAGCUGUUUUUUUGUUGUGGCUGUUUGGGGUGCAGUGGUUUUCCAGUUGCGAGAUGCGUAGAAGUGCAGCUUGUGCAGACUUAUUGUUUAAUGUAAUCGUGUUGGCUUCUACACCAGGGGGCAACUUGCUGGUGUUGGCAACAUGGCAAGCUUAUUCCGCUGACGUCAGAGUUCUAUUCCGGGCGCUGACAGUUACGUCAGUUACGGUGUUCGUGAUCAGUGCCGUCAACUUAAACAUUCUUCUUCGCAAAUAUCCCGAAGGAUUAAUGGCUUGGUGAAGUCGAGCUUUUUCAAGGCAGUCCAAUGUCCACUUGGAUUUGUUGCAGCCAGCUGGUUAACAGUGUUGUGAGCUGUUGUAUGAAGACCAGGCGCUGUUGUGAUGAGCUUCUGCAUGCAGUCUGUGGUGCUGGUGUGCCUAAGUGCUGUAUGCUGUCUGUAGAGUGGUGCUAGCUUUAAAUUUGAAGAACUCACUGCCUUAUCAAUUGAGUGUUUGAAUCAUUCAUUUUAUAAUUGUUUCCAAAGUCAGUUUUAGUUUAUUUGCGUGGUUUAUUUGGUCUACAGUUCAUGUUUGGCCAGUGGUUGAAAGGGGGUUCAAGUCAAAUUUAGCUGCAGGUUCUGGAAGCAAUCUACAUUGCUGGUGUCAUCCUGAAAUGUAACAGCGAUAGUCAUCUUGAAAUGGACUUAUGACAAACCUAUCUACCUGCCUUGGCGAUGAUGAUGCAUCAAGUUGCUGCAUGCUGUCCAUGCAGCUGGUGUUCUCCAGAAAUAUUGAAGCAGGAGUUGAGACAAAGCUGCCUUGAAUACUUUUAGAAGUGGAUGGUGAAAAUGUUCAGCGGUUUCGUAGUCUGAUUCCUGUUCAAGAUUUUAUCCUGGAUUGUGCAAGUCCUUGCAGUAACUGAUUCUGGUGUUAGCCUCAUGUUGCUGUUGUGAAAAAGGAGUUGAUGAAAAUAUUUUAUCUGUAUUUGUGUUUCAUCCUAAGUAGGCUUAUGUGAUUGAUGAACUUCAACGUAUGUGAUCGAAUCCUCCAACAUGAUAUGUCGCAACAAAACCUAUAACAGGGUCAUCUUAGAUGAUGAAAUUACCUCAACCAUAAUUGUUUCAUCUACUUAUUAUUUGUGUAUCAAAGUCAAUCCUGCAAUUUUUUGUUAUACUUGUAAACUUAUUAUAGAAAUCUGUUUUUACAUUGUGUUACAAAUAAAAAGUAAAAAAAGAACAACA